AGGGAAGAAACUAACAAGGAUUCCCCUAGUAACGGCGAGUGAAGCGGGAAGAGCUCAAGCUUAAAAUCUCCGUGCAAGUUUUGUGCGGCGAAUUGUAGUCUAUAGAAGCGUGGUCAGCAUGGGCACUUGGGGCAAGUUCCUUGGAAGAGGACAGCAUGGAGGGUGAUACUCCCGUUCAUUUCUGAGUUGCUCGUGCGUACGACCCGUUUUCUUUGAGUCGCGUUGUUUGGGAAUGCAGCGCAAAGUAGGUGGUAAAUUCCAUCUAAAGCUAAAUAUUGGUGCGAGACCGAUAGCGAACAAGUACCGUGAGGGAAAGAUGAAAAGAACUUUGAAAAGAGAGUUAAAGAGUACCUGAAACUGCUGAAAGGGAACCGAAUCGUUUCCAGUGUCUAUAAUCCGUGGUAUAUUUCAUUGGCGAGUGUGUGCGUGCGUGUGCUGUGGCAGCGGCUUUUUUGGCUGCGCUCGGCGUGUGUGCUGUGUGUGCUUGCUGGUGCUCUGUGCUGCGGUGGGACGUCAAGGUCAGUUCGUAUGCUGCGGGAAAUGGCUGCCGAGGAGGUAGGGCUUACGCUUGCGUUUGUCUGUUAUAUCUUGGUGGACGAGUAGUCGCGGUUGGGACUGAGGUGCCUACAACGUGCUUUUGAGUGGGUUUGUGUCUCCGUGUGCGCCGUGUGCGGAUAGCUUGCUAUGCGUGUGUGGUUGUGUGUGGAUUGAUGCGAGCUUUAACUUGUUGCCGUUCGGGACGUUGACGAAAUGGAGCGAUUCGACCCGUCUUGAAACACGGACCAAGGAGUCUAACAUGUGUGCAAGUGUUAGGGUGUGGAAACCCCAGCGCGAAAUGAAAGUGAAGGGCAGCGUAAGUUGUCUGAGGUAGGAAAUGCUGCGGGCUUCGGUCUGCGGUGUGGCACUAUCGACCGAUCAUGAACCUUCGUGGUGAAAGAUUUGAGUUUGAGCACAUAUGUUGGUACCCGAAAGAUGGUGAACUAUGCCUGAGUAGGGUGAAGCCAGGGGAAACUCUGGUGGAAGCUCGUAGCGAUUCUGACGUGCAAAUCGAUCGUCAAACUUGGGUAUAGGGGCGAAAGACUAAUCGAAACCCCC
rnacentral:rRNA from 1 species